rnacentral:lncRNA from 1 species
GGCCGGGCUGCAAACGUUACCCGAGUGAUACCUAAUGGAGGGGGGCUGCGAGGGGAAGGGGGAGAGGGGAGGAGAGGCCAAUGGAGAACGGGCUGUCUGCUCCAGCAGCACGGCGUUUUAUUCUCACUGCUAAAUGCAAAAUUGAUUUUUUUUUUAAGAUGCAUAAAAAGAAUUUUAUAUAUAUAUAUAUAUAUAUAAAGAGCCUCUGCCUCUCUCUUAUAGUUCCCAGACAAAGAAAGCUGCAGCAGACACCCCAGACAAUGGAUGGUCCUUUCUCUGCUAAGCAUUUGCCUUUCUCAGCAGUUAAGGUUAGAAAAAAAAAAAAAAAAAAAGAAAGAAAGAAAGAAAAAAAAAUCCACCACCCAAGAACCAAAAAAAAACCUCAUUGAAGGAAUGAAUUAAAAAGAUGACCCCGGAAAAUGUGGCAGCCUUUUUAUUUGAUGAGGAAUCAAGUUCAUACAGCGUGUCAGCAGAGGUGCUGCGCUUUGGUCUUUUAUUUGUUUCCUGGCAAUAAGAACAUUCCUUUUUAGGCUGAUAUCAUCCUCUCAUCUUCUCCCUCCCUCUGCCUACCCCUCUCUUCCUCUUCUCGCAUCCUUUUUCCUUCCUCCCCUUUCUCCCUCGCCCCUUUCUCCCUCGCAUUCUCACAUACAUUACCCCUUCCUUUCAUCUCGGGGCUGACCUGAAAUGACCUUUUGCCUGGCACUAGACGUGACUUAACUGAUAAUAGCAGAUACUCGGGGGCCUCAAGCGGUGGCUUGUCUGAGCACGUAGAGGGAGGGCAGAAAGAAAGCUCCCUUUUUUUCCCCCCCUUUCCUCAUAGGCAAAGCACGGGUUUCUCUUUGUAGCAGCGUUUCCUGCAAGGUAGCAAUUAAUGACACUUUGUGCUGCUUAUUGCCCGUUAGAUAAAACCCUUCCAAAGCUUUCCCUGCGGUGUCUGUCCCAACACGCGAGGGAGGGGCGGGGAGGGGAAAUCUGUCUGCGAGCGGCGAGCAGCCCCGCACCAUCACUCGGCUGCCACCGGCUCUGCAUUGCGUCUGCCGCCUUUGUGCUCCGGCUGCAGCCAAACCCAUGUCGGAGCAGCACAAACGUCCUUCUGUCUUAAAUAAUCAACACUUCUAGGCGGCCCAUCCGGCCACAGGGUUAUUAUUUUGCUCCUUCGUGUCCCUCGAAGCCACCGCGGUAAAGAUAAGAUUGCAGGCGGACCCGCUGGGUCGCUGAUUUUAUUUCUUAAUGUUAACUAUUUAUUUGGAUACUCGGCGAGGUUGGGUGAGUUACCACAGCAACGACUCUGCAUCUUGAACAUGAAAGGGCUCUUAUUGUGCCAUGUGGUGCCUCAGAGAUACAGAGAAAGGAGGAGGCGGGGAGGAGAAUUCCUCUUUAAAGAAACAAUAGCCAAACAUUAUGUGAACUCGGGGGCUUUAUAAUAAAGUUGGGAGGCAAAAAAAAAAAGAAAGGAGAAGGGGCUGCAGCGGUCUGCGGUGAAAAAAUGUGCUGACUUACAGAGCUUUGGGCAAAGAGGUGCGCGUGUUUAUAGAAAUAUUAAUUAAUUAGCUGUUAAACAAAAGCUUAAUACAUAUACACGUAUUUUGUUCUCUCCGGCAGGUCGUUUGCUGGUCGGGCUGUCAGACUGCCCAGGCAGAUCAGAGCUGAGGGUCAGAGCCCGAGAUAUGGUUUUUACUUGAUUUUAUUUUAUAAACUUUGUUCUGCUCUUUCUUUCGAGAGAAAGGAAAAGGGGUGGGUGUUGAAGUGUCCAGAAAGGAACCACAGAGUGGUCUGUUUCCCAUUGUCCAAAAUAAUGGGGUGACUGAAACCCCAGACAAUGAGGAAACCUGGAUAAUAGGGUUACUAAAGGAUGCAGAGCAGAAGUACAUGAAUGGCUGCACGCAGAGCUGAGCGAGAUCCAAGGGAGCUUGUUAGCUCCGAUUUGCACUGUCCUGCUCAGACCCGGGCUGGGAUGCACACUGUGCCACCUGCCUGUCCCUGUGCUGGGGUCCAGGGGGGUCUGCGUGCUGCAGAGCGCAUUGCUGUGCUGAGCCCUAUGCUCAGGUUGAGCCCCACAGACCUGCACUGCUCUGCAUAAGACCAGCUCGAUGUUCCCUGCUCUGCCCCAUGCCCAGAUGGAUGAGUGCAUGUGUGCGUAUUUAUCACUAAUAUCUGGGUGUGGGUUUAAGUUCUCAGACCAAGGAGCUCCCCUCGGAAUCCCAAUCCUGUUAGGCUCGGUGCAGCUGUGCACAGAAAUGGCUGCUGCUUGCAGUGACCACACCUUCUGUUGUUAGGAUAAAGGCACCCUGCCCAGGUGUGCUGCAUGUAGGAAAUGGAGCCCUUUAUUGCUCUGCAGGCCUUCCCCGGGAGGGUUCUUGGAGCAAUAGGCCCAGGAAGCAGCCCUUUGCUUGGGUUGCUGUGUUCUGUCUUCUCUUCCACAUCUUUGGGAAUGCAUUGCAGAACUCACAAGUGCUUUGUUGCCUGCUGUACCUCACAGGUAAUGCAUUUCCUUUCCCAAGAUCCAUUUGUAAACCAGUUCAGGUUGUUCUUCCAGCUGUUUACCUCAACUCCAUGCCUUGUGUGGGUGAGGGUGGAGGGAGGGGAUGGGCCAGCUCAGGAGGACAUCUCAGCAGCUUUCUCUGCACUUUCAGCUUAAGGCUUGUUUUGCUUCACGUGGUUGGUAAUGAGAUGCUAACCAUGGGGACAAGCCUCAAAAUGCUAUGUGAAACUUGGCCAGGUCUCCCAUGCUUUGAUACAAAUUAUCUGGGGGAUCAUGCGGUCAGAUGAGAAACUCAUAUGGUUUCCAGGCUUUGGUCGUUACAACCAAACAGAGUUCUUGGAGUUCCCCUGAAACCCCAUAGAAGUACCUCCAUUUGACAAGGGGAAAAAAUAAGGAGCCCUGGGCUUCACUGAAAGAUAACAUUAGCAAUUUAAGAUCUACCACUCAUCAUACGUUCUGUGCUUCCCAUUCCUCUUUGCUUUGAGAUAUGCAAAUCUUAGUGUAUUAAUUAGUAAUGCUUACCGAAGGCAGAAAGGUAUGAGGAUACGGCUGAAUUAGAACAGUGGGAGCUGCAACCUCUUUGGGGUGUUCAGUCUCAUCAUCUGCUUACACACCUGUGCUGUGUAUGCCCACAGUGUUUGCUGUCUGUAUGCUUUUACUACAAGACUGCUUCUUCCCAGCGUUGAGAGCAUCUUGUUUAGAGACUUUACAUUUUGAGCAAUGUUGCAUAACUACUUAGGAUUACUUUCACUCUCCAAUACAAGUUCGAGCUCUAUUCUUAAUUACCUGGCUUUCCAGCUCUUCUUUUUAGAGCACAGUCACUCAGUUGAGUGGGUUAAAUGACUGUUGCAGGUGAAGGACAAGGCAAAUCAUGGUUUACUGCCUGGAAAGCGUGGCUAUGUGAAGUGAUGAUUGUAUUUUCCUGAGCGUGUUAAAGUGUCAGCUGUCUGAAUGUCUCUGGUGGUGGCAUCAUAAAAGAUUCCUGGUUUCUUUCAUACGCAGUGGGCUGAGAUCUGUCGAGGUAAUAUUGGCGUUAAACCUGUCUCUAAUUUUCAAAAUAUAUAUGAAUGAGAGAGUAAGAAAAGGAGUUGGGUUAAAUCGCUGAUCUCUUUAUCAAGGAGGAAAAAAGUGAUGCAGUGGAAGAAGUGAAGUGUAUUUGCCUUUGAUGGCUGCUCAGGUUAAGGAAUGAUGGCAUAUUAUGGGUUAGCAGCCAAUGGAGUUAUGCUUGUAACUCAAGUCGCAGUGGCCUCUGCUGAGUGUUUCAGGUUCAAAGGCUUCUAAUGGUGCACGGAGCAGCCACAACCUGAGAGCACCACCCAGGAACACCUGUGUGUGCAGCGUGGGGCUGCCCAUUGCAAAGGUACAGUCCAGGCUCAGCAACAGUCUUUGACUCUACACGUUGUUCAGUACAUUGGCAUCACCUCUGUCUUCCUGCUCGUGUCCUCGUGGCUGUACUAAAGCCCACCUCCAGUCACCAGAGUGCCUUCUGCUGGCACAGGUUCCUUGGGACACCUGAGGCCAGCUGAGAGGUAACAUGAAACAGGAGGUAGAUAGGAGGCCAUGUGAAUAUUGCUCUGCUCCAAAACCUUCCAAUCUGCUUUUAAUCCUGUAUUUGGAGAGUAUCUCUCACACUGGGAAAACAUGUGCUGUGUAAUAGGAGCAAUAGCAGCGUACAGUAUGUGUCAGAAAUGGUUAUAAGCAACAAACUGACCUGCUGGAGUCUUUACUACUUAGUACGGAAAUGCUUAUGUGUUUAAUGGUCUAUUAACUCUUCAGCCAUGGAACAUUGUAGAUGUAGCUGUUCCUCAGCUGUGGGACAGAACAGUGUGAAGGAGCACAGUGUCCUGGCAAGGUGACAGCAAGAGCCCAGUGAUGCUCCUCCAUCUGCCCAUCCACAGCCUCCAUGUGGCCCACAGAAACCCACUGCUCCCCUCUGGGUAUGGGCAGGACCUCUCCUGGUAGUCCCAAGCUCGUGGUGUAUCAGCCACCCAGCAGACAACUGUUUCCUCUGCAAUCAGUGGCUUAAGUCCUGCGUGCUAACAACACCAACAAAAAGUGAUUGAGAUAAGCUUUAGCUUAUUAGAAACUGUUGAGUACAUUGAGCGUGUGGGAAUGGCUGCUAAAAGCAUUUGUAUUGCUUAGUAAUUUGAAAGUAGAGAAACAUAAAAAGGAAAUGAUGUCCACAGUGAGUUGGAUGGUGUUCCUGCAUCUCGGGAGACACUGGAGAGCUGGAAACUGGAGCGUUACUUAAGAGUUUUGACCCCUGAAACUUUUGUCUCCUUCCAGCUGGCAAGUGAACCGUGCUAAGCAUGUAGCGGUGCUGGGAAUGGCUCACCACGUCCUCCAGCACAGCUCUGCUUUUGGGAGGGAAAGGGGAGAGGAAGCUGCAGACCCUCUGCCUCUUUCUGCCCCACGUGUCCCAUUGUGCCCAUGCAUGUUGCUGCACCGAGGGGUCUGUGGGCAUGACUGGUGAUGGAAACUGGGCAAUGAUCUGCGGUCUCAUCUCUUCCAUUAAUUUCAUCACGUAACCUCGGGCACAUAUCCACAAUCUCUCAUCUGUGAGUGGGAGUAGAAUCGCUCGGUGUACCUUGAAGUGAAGGCUCCCAGCUGCCCAUGCAUUGCUCUGCCCCAGCCCCCGGCAAGUGAGCUCUCUGCUGAACCACUGCAGGGAGCAGCAAAGUGCUGGAAGGCGCUGCUGGGUGACGUGGGACUGCUGUGCUGCAGGCAGUGACAUUUCAGCAGCUGAUGCUCCACCAGCUCAGGUGAGGGCAGGCAGCCAGGCUGAGCACUCCCAGGAAUCAGGGUGUUGCAUCUGCAUGUGCUUUAAUUAACCAGCAGGAGAUGGCAAGCGCUCAGGAGAGGCUUUCUUAACUGAUGCUCACUGAACGGGCUAACAUCUGCAGAUUUCAGACACAACUUGCACUGUACCCAAUAGGCCUACAUCCCUGAGUGCUGUGUUAGGUGUGUGGGCACAGGACAGAGGCACUCGGAUUGAAGAAGGCUCCUAGAGGAGGAAAUUGUUUCCCUUGGAAGUUUCAAAUAGAAAGAAAGUAAACUGCCUUGAGUAUUUUGAGGGGUCAGUGGACUGAUAAGCAAAAAAAACCAGGCUGCAGCAUCUCCUCAUCCCAUAGAACAGGGUAGCAGAGCACCUUCCAUUGCCCUUGCAUUCUUACAGUACUAUUGCAGCUUAAGUAGCUGUGCUUUUUUUCUCUUAUGUAUGGGCUGAGUUUGUAGGCAAGUUUCAUUAAUGAUUAUAAUUUAAUUGCAUAAAUUUCUUGCAUGCUGAUAGAAGAAUAGACCCCCUGCUUUAACUGUGCGAAGUGCUCUGGAGUGCUUUUUCCUCUCCUUGUGUUAUGACUUGUUUCUCUAAACGUUGCUUUUGUGUAAUUAUUUGUUUAAAUGUCAGAAAUGCUACAAAUCCUGCAAACACCACUAGGUGUAGCACUCAAUACCAGGAGUUUUAGUCCUGCUGACUUUCUUACAAUUACGUGUUUAUGGCAGAAGUACAUCUUAAAGUGGUUUCCAAGUAAACACAAGACAAAACUGUUUGCAUGAAAGCUUUACUGAGACGUGCAUGUAUUGAUUGCGUUUACCUCUGUAACAAAUGAGAGGCUUUCAGUCCUCUAGCAGUUACUGAAGUAGUUACUUCAAGGUCUACAGUGAUACAGAGAUAUGUGAAUGCCCCCAGACGGUUUAAAAACUACUAAAUCCAUGCAGGAGCUGAUCAAAAGGAAAAGUAUUACGUGCAGUGGUGUGGUGCACAGGUAAAACAGUGAUGGUAGCCACAUAAACAGACAACAGUAUUUGCAGGACAGGGUUCUAUUAAAUUCAUGGGAUGUAGGACAAACACACCGUGGCACUCACUUUGACCCUGCAAACCACUUAAAUGGGAUCAGCUAAGGCAAGUCACCAUCAGCCCAAGAAAGGAUGAAGGAGGUCUUAAGAAGAAAGGAGAGUGCUUUGAAUAAAUCAGCAACCAGUGGUCUGGAAGAGAAGAGAGUGAGAAUUUGGAGGAAAAAAACAGCACAACAGAUGUGUGCAGGUGGAAGUCAGAGAUCGAUUGGUGCAAGCUAAGGAAGGCUGCUUGGAAAUUUCUGAAUGAAGAGUCGGCGUCAGUCUAUCCCAAACCAACCUUUUUCAUCGCAUCGGUUUGAACGAUGCUUUCCAUGAGCCUUUUCAGAUGGCUUGGUAAAGAAUCACGCCUUCUCUUCCCCAACCCUGGGAAGUUAACUACCAAGGUUCCCAAAUCACGGUGGUCAUGCUUGAGGUUGUCCAUCCUGAUCCUGGGGAUGGGAUGUGGCCACUGCAGAGCUCCUGCUCUUUGGGAUCCUCCUAAAGCAUAGGUGCUCCUUGGGGGAAGCCUGCUGCCUUUCACCUUGCUCCAUGUCUUUGCAAAGCACGUGGGGAAGCCUUAACAAAGCGAUGACAUCCCCAGAAGGAAGCUGUUGGAAUCCUUCCUGGGUGGAAAAUUCAGCAUUAACAAAAUCAAACACUGAUAAGGAACAAAAACGAAGGAAGAAAAGUAAACUUUCACCUUUCUUCCACUCUCCCCUGCAGACUGUCAUGAGCUAAACGCAGUGUUAUAUAAAGAAAUGUAACAUAUAAUCCCAAGGUAAAGCUUAAUAAUUCUCCCUGCUGCAAAAUUUGCUUUAUAAAUGACUUUCCACUCCUCUCACCCCACUCUGAUUCCAGAGCACUGCGCAUGCUGGCAAUGAAGACCUUUUUUGUUGGAGUGCCAAAGUUGAACUCACCAGCGACUUGAAGUGGAAAAAAUGAAAUGGAUCCGUUUGUUGCCUGGGGAUGAUGUGCAUCCUGUGCAAAGCACCGGGAGCAGGAAUUUAAGGCAGACUGUACUGGCUUGUAGCUGAGGGAGGUGAUUGGGGACAUGGAUAUUACUGCCUUGUUUUAUAACGUCUUGACCCUGUUGUUGUGCAUAUUGACAGUUGUCAUCUUCCUCUGAGAUGUUUAUAGACAAAAUAUGGAUCUUGCUUUGCAGCUAGCUCCUGGAGGUGCUACAGCUGGAGAUUGACAUGUGGGAACUCAUAGUCUGAGCUCUAAUUCUGGCUAGCCACAUAGUAGGGUGUUUGAUUUUUUUGGUUGAAACGGUCCAUAAAGAAACAUAGCAGUCACCGUUCAGGGAAAUCUUCCAUCUUUGCUAAGGUUCCAAGGUCCCAGAGAGCAGAAAAGCAAACACUUGAGCAUGUCUGGAAUUUGUAGGAACUUCAGUUAGAUUUUAGGGUCCAGUUCAAUUCCUAAGGCACUGUGAUGCCUGAGGAAUUCCUGCCUUUUGGCCUGUGCCUUGCAAUGCCAUGGAUGUGUAUUAUCUGCUCGUCAUUAUGGUUGGAUGCUGAUAUUCUCUGCACCGUGCUCUGCUCAGCUGAAGUCUUUAUCAGACUGCUGGCUUUGUUGGGAUUAGGUACCAGCAAACUCAUUAAUCCUGUAGAGACUGAUAGAUGGUGAGUCUUCCUAUGCCAGCAAAAACACAUCCAGCUCCUUCAGGAUGAGAUAAUGGCUUUUAGUUAUACUUGAUCAGAAACAAAACUCUGAACGUUCUACCUUCUAUCAGAAAUUACUAACAAAUCUUGAUUAAGGUAGACAAGCUUUUUUCCUUUUUUCCUAUUUUGUCCUUCUAAAGUAUCAUGUCUCACUGCAGCUUAGAGACAGCACAAAUGAUGUAGCACAAUCCUUUCAGAAGCACUGCACUGCACCAGCAUCCUUCUGCAAAUAUUUAUCAUAUAUACCUGUGCACAGAAAACAUUUAGCCUUGAAACAACUCUCCUGCGAGAGGGGAAAAAUGAAGUUCCCUGAGCUCAAUGCUGUUGCUCAUGCAGUUUGUCUUUCCUCCUCCCUCAAUGAAAUUUAUUGUGCCUGGAAUAGAAACCUUAGGUUGUCAUAGGAAAUACUUGCUGUUAUUUAUUAUCCUGCAAGAAGACUCUGCUAAGCUAAUUCACGCAAUAGACUUAAAAAGAGGUCAGGAGGAAACAAACAGUCCACAUUUUUUGGUGAGGAAUCUAAAAAGUACAUGAACCACAGCUCCGAAUGCCUGUGAAAUAUGAGCGGAGCAGCGGGUGCUGCCAGCGCCGUUCACUUUGACCUCAGCAGCAUUGCAGUGCUGGGCAGCAGGCAGCUCCGUGGUGCAGGCAGUGCUCUGCUGAAGGUACCACUGCCCUCCCCACGGUCUGCAACGUUGGGUUGAAAAUGGUUUUGCUGCAAAAUGUCCUGCAGUCAGCUCGUUUCAGAGCGCAACAGGGGAGGGGUGUGAGGCUUGCCUUGUUUAAUGCGAAGUUGAGUUUGAGUCUCUGGGAGUGUUGUGGCUGUGGCUUGAUCUGUCCUGCAUUGUUUGUAGCCUUUUGCCAGCGCUGUCUCAAAUUGAUUGUGGCAAUUUUUGUAAUAAUUACAUCCAGUUCCUUUUGAGUACGAUAAAUCAGAGAUGUGAUUUGCCCAAACUUAUGUGGAAGACCAGAGCAGGUCUGGGAACUGCUGUGCUUUCAGUUUCUGCUCUGUCGUUCUGUCCUAGCAAAGCAAGUUCUUUUCCCCACCUUUAAAGCUAAAGCUUCUUGUGCCUUUGCUUCUAAUACGUUUAGAUUACCUGCUGCAUUCUGGGAAACCUGCCAGCUACUCAUAUUUAAUAUUUUAUCAAUAAAUGAAUGCAUUAAUUCCUCUAAAAUAGCUCCUAAGGUUGAAAGAUAGAUGGUUUGGUCAAAUUUUUGUAUGUGCUCAUGGAGUUUCACUCAGUUUCUUGCCUCUGAGCUCAGCUACUUGGGUGUAAUGAAAGAGGAGAGAGGGGCAAACCUACAGUCUUGCAGUUCCAUCCCUUUGAGGCUGUGUGCUCCCUGCUGGCAACGGCCCUCAGGCUUCCCCUGGAGCACCCUUUGCUCUGCUGUUGAGGCACAGGGUCUCCCAGAAGCAGCUCUCCUGGGGCCAUUGGUGUCCCCCAUGGUGGUGGGGAACUGCUGCUGGCAGAGCUGAGGUGCCACGUUCCUUUGGUAGAGAUGCUCUGACUGUGGGUCACUGCAUGCACAGCCCGCGUGGGGCUCAGAGCCAGGGCUGCAGCAGGGUGGGGGUCUGACUGAGGAGAGCUGGGGCUGCCCUGUGCGGGACACAGCCGCUUCCAGCCACUUCUGUCUUCCUGCUUCCAGCUGGUUCUAGCCUUGUUCCGGCUGGUUCUGGUUGCUUACAGGGCACAGCUGAGGAUCAGCAUGUGGUUGGCCGAGGUCACUGCAGGCAGUGACAUUCCCCCCAGGCUGUAGCUCCUCACCCAGGGCGCCCCAGAGAGGACAGUGAAAUGACAAGUGGGACAGCAUGGCUGCUUCUCCAAACACACUCAGGACAAGCACUGCUGCAGUUCCAGCCCAAUUCCUGCUGAAAAUCAAUAGAACAGAGGCUUCUGAGUCACGUAACUCCAUUUGAAAAGCUUCUCUACGGCCAAAAGCCAACAUGACUGCUGAGAGGACCAGAAAUAGAGCCCCACCCUUUACAGUCUUCCUUUAAUUUAUCCUUUCCCACCGACAGUUGAAGGAUGGAUGCAUCUGAGCACCAGGAGCAAGGAAGAUGAGAGCCAGCAGACGGCGUCCCUUGGGAAGUCCAGUUCUUCUCUCUUUGUAGUGCUUGGAGUGGCCACAGGGAAGCACGGGCAGGUAGUGCUGAGCUCGCCAUGUUGUGAUGCUGGCACAUGCAGCCGUGCCUGCUGCUUGCAUAUGGUGGAAAAAGCACAAUGCGGCUCCAAUUCCUCCGGGCAAAGAUGAUGCUGUAAAUAGCAUGGCCAAGUUUCAAGCUCUCACAGUACAGUGGGAAGCGAUCCAGGCUUUUCUGGUGUCAGGAAGGAGAGCAAAAACGCAUUUUAUGCAUCCUAGGGGGAAAAGAGAAGCAAAGCCGCCCCAGCUGGAGUUGUCAGCUCUGGGAGGGGCAGCCAUUUGGCUCUCAUUAAGAGUGGCAACAAUAGUUCCCCAUUGGAUCUUGGUGAAUGUGCGUUGGUGGGCUCUGUCGUUCACCCUGGAAAGGACUGAUGCCAUGCCAAAGUCUGUUCCAGGUCUGUGCCUUAGGGCACAGCUUUCUGGUUAGGAUACGUAGGCGUCAUCCCAAAAAUCAAGCAGUCCAAAGCUUGUGCAGUUCCCUGUAGGCUUUUCACUUAUCCAGGCUUUUCCCAGCCCUCAUCCUGACUCACAGAUGCCUGAAGGACACUGUUCUCCAGUUGAUGAUCCAACUAGGGGUCACUUGAUGGCUUCUAGGCACAGCACAAGCCUCCUUUCUCUGCUCCUUUGCAAUCCUGCCCAACUCUUUGCUCUUUAAAGGCCCCGAUUGCAGAGUCUAAAAGGAGUUUAAACACCUCAUUCCCACUGAAAUGUACUUUGGGCUGCUAGCAGGUCUGUCAUCCUGCAGUCCCAGCUCAAAGGCAAGUAGGGCUGGUCCCAGUUUCCCUCAGAGAAACCAAACUCAAUCCUGUGGCAGGACAGAACGUGCAUCGCUGGGCUUGUCUUGACUUACAGGAAUCGUACCAUUGGUGUACAGUGCUCCAUAUAGUCUUCAAAUAACUAACAGGAGAGUUCUGUGGACUUGAAUGCCCCCAAAUGAUUUUUCUUUCGAGAAGAAGACUGGAGGUAGAGCGCUUUCCAUUUGGACACGGGAUUCGUCUGAGCGCUGGGCCAACGCUGUGCUAAACAAAUUGUCGUGCCAACCUCUUAUGGGUAAUUAGGCAUGAAGGGAAUCAGCAGUCUGCUCCCUGUGCUGUGACUCACAGACGGCGGGUUUGCAGUGUGCCUUCAGCUUCCAGGGCUGCAGCACUGUGGCACUCUCAAGGAAGAUGAUGGAUCCUGAGCAUGCAGCAGCCCUGAGGAGCUCGGUGGGGAUGGCACAGCCCUGCGGUGGCAGUGCGUGGUUGCAGCGUGGAGCGCUUCAUGCUGCUGUUCUAUCAGGAGUGCAGGAGGGAGGGCCCAGCUGUGGGCAGCUGUGGAGUUUGUGUGUCACCAUCUCUCUAGCGGGUUACCAGCACUGUACCAAAGUUGCCAUCCUAGGGUCAUGCCAUGAUGGUGCUCCUAAGGUGCGUUAGUGCUCUGUGCAUUGGUUUGGCUCCUGCUCCCAGUUGGAGCUCAGUGUAAACUCCUGGGCUCCAGGUUGGAGCAUACAGGUGCUCUGUUCACCCAGCUGGGCUGCAGGAGUAGCUGUGAGCAACGGAUGAAGACAAGGAUGGCUCAGAGCACCACAACUGUUUGCUGAGUGACCUAUGUUUAAGCCCUGGGUUCAUCACCUCUGAGCUUUAGGGUCAUCCUGGUCGUGAGUAAGGUGCACUGUCUGCCUGCUUUCAAUGCCUCAGGCUUUAUGAGCCCUACAGAUCUCAUUCUCUUUGUGCAGCUGAAUGACACAGCCAUGAAAAGUGGCUGAGAGAUGGGCCAGGGUAAAAAUCCAGUUGGUCUGACAGCUUGUUUUGUACUGUUAGGGACUUCCCCAACCAAAGGAAAGCUUUGGGAGGUGAGAUGGAGGUGUACCAAGGGGAAAAGCCUUUUGGUUAGCACGCUGGGGCUUCAUCAGCCUAAUGUGGCUGCUUCUGCACAUCUACAGGAAACUUUCUUUCUCCGGGGAUUUCCAAACCCUCAAGAUAAGCACAGUCAAAAUACGGCACGGUUGUUUUUAUCAUGCAGUUUGGGGACUUUUCCUUGUGUGAUCCUGAAGGAAACCAGGAAGAGCUGGGGUGUGUGGGCACCUACGCUUCUUUCUUUCUAUUAUGAGGUUUUUAAAGCUCGGUUACCCUUAGGAGCGACAGACUGAGUGGUUCUGCACGUACCCAUGUGAGUUCAGUCCCAAUGUGCGCUACCACAAUUUGCAAUCUAAACGGGGUCUAAAUGGGACAUUUGGAAUCCAGGGACUUGAUUUUUGCCGUGGUCUGUCCCCUUCAAACCCGGACCCACAGCCACGCGAGGUCUGCAGUUGCUCAGAUACAGAGGUCACAAUCAAAUUGUAACCUAUUCUAAAACGCGGUGCGAUAGUCGUUAUCUUGGAGGCCUUGGGAAUGAUGGCAGCUUAGUUUUUGAUUAGAGCUCCUUACCCUCACAAUACCGCAGCCCUUGUUAUUCCAUUGUAACUCAUCGUGUGCCACUUGGUGUUUUUAUGACACGGCACUCUGGGCCAGCAUAGCCUUCAUUACAAAACAUCUCCUGGUCCUAUUGUGGGUGAGAAUUGAGAUGUGAGAGCUAAGCGUAACCUGAAGGGAGAAAAAAAAAAAAACCUGGCAAGCAGCUGAAAAGCUUGAAAUGUAAUGAAAAGCUUUAAAAAUAACACAUGCGAUUUUGUAGAAUUGCUUUUCUUCAGCAACUCUUGCAGGCUUUGUAAGGAGGGAGCCCUGUGCUGCACGGUGUUCAAACACUCAGACACAGCAAUAUUGUAAAUUGCAAAUUGAAGUGCCAAAACCAGUCUGUCCUGUACAGGUCACUGAAGUAGACGCAGCUCUUGCCUGAAAGCAUUUGUAAUCUAAAACCGUGCUGUGAUUCCCACUGAAGGUAAUGACAGAACUCCGAGUGAUUGCAGAGGGAACAGGACGGGGCUCUUACUAAAGGGAAGGGUCUUUAUUUUUGCUUAGCAGAUACUCCUCACCUAGGGCAAAUCCCAUCAACUUUUGUUCAGGAAUCUCAGAAUCUGAACUUCUUUACGAGAUUUAAAGAGAAUCCCCAUCUGUGACUGAAGCAUUUAAUCAUCCUUUAAAAGCCGGUGCAGUUUUAUUUUCUCUGGGGAGCGAGGAGCAUUAGCUGAAGCAUAAAGCAAACUAUACCAAGUGUAGAAAAAACUCAGCCCGAUGUCCUGUUUGACAAACUGACCUGCGGGUCACAACCUGGGUUUAUUGAUCUGUGGGGCCAUGUCUGGGUGUCGGGCUUGUUUUCUGGACUUUGGUUUCAGCUGCAUUCCUGACUUCUGAAAGAGUAGGGGGUGUGGAUUUCUACUAGGAGUAACCACUGGGAAGGAAGUAAUGUUCAUUAAGUGUGCAGGCAGUGCAGGACUAAGCAUGCUCAGUGAAAAAGCUUUUCUCCCUUGCCUGUCAAGCCCUGUGUUUGAACUCAUUCCAGAAUGCCGGAUUUACUUUUCACCAAGAAGCAGUACCUGGCCGGACUGCAUUUUUCUCUCUCUCUCCUCAGCCAUGGGAAGAUUGGAAACAAUAUUCUUCUGAUGCUCAGUGCGCUCAGCCCGCGUGCGUGUGCGGCUGUUGCAGUGGAGGAGGAGGACAAACUUUGCUACCUGUGAGACGAAGGCUGGUAGCACUGGAAAUGAAAACAGUUCCAUUUACGAUACUGUUCUCAGGCUCCAUAAAUGGCUGCGGAGUGCUGCACCAUUUCAGCUGAAGCUCUGUGCACAUCGUGAGCUCUGUAAAAGUUUGUGGGAGCUGCAGCUCGGGUCGGAAUCCAUCGUCUGGAGCUCCUCCUUGGGUGGAGCUGCAAACAAGCAGAAUUUUCUGCAUCGGUAUGCAAAUUGCCCAAAGAAAUGGGAGCCUUUCUGAGUCGCCUCCGUGCUGCUGCUGGGGUUCAGGUGGUUGGAAAAACGAGCUUUGUGUUCACAAGGCAGCAGGGCCGAGGGCUGCUCCAAAGUGCCUUUGUUUGAGUAUAUGUAAAGCUAUCAAUGCGUCAUUCUUUCUGCUUCAGCUGCUAGAGACUCCCAUCUUCUCUAUUGAUUUUACCCAGAAUGCUUACUGCCCUUGAAGGUGUGACCUGUACCUCCGGCUAAUUUAUUUCUGUCAUGGCUGCAGCAUUUUUUAGAGGGCAGAGGGGGUAGGAGAGAGAACAAUGAAUUCAACAUGGAAUAUAAAUCCCAAGUCUGUGGCCUUCAGACAUUCCAGCACACAGCCCGCUCCAUUCUCCCAUUGGGCAUUCUGCACGGUCUUGGAUUAAGAAUAAAAAAAAAAGAAAGGCAUUUGUAUAACUAAUCAGGUGAGCCAUUCUGGGAUAAUCCCUUUGGUCACACAUACUGGCAUAUAUAUUACAACUUUGCUGGGCUGCUAAACCUUCCUCAGUGACGUCCUCGUGGAUGAGCCCGAAUCAGAAGUCGCACCUUGAUGGCCUGGAAUCAUUUUGGAUCUGAGCACUGCUGCUUUAACGUCUGUAAAUCUGUCAUGUGGAAUGUGAAAGGACAAAAAACUUUUGUGUGUGUGUGUUGAAAACUCGUUUUGGACUACCGUGGUAGUGAUGGAUCUUCUUUGUUUCACUUUAUUUUUGUUUUCGUUUGUUAUUUGGCACUUAUUUGUUCCUGAUCAGGUUUUUAUAGUGAAAAAUAAGUGAUGUGUAAGCACAUGAGUUGAAACUCUCUACAAAUAGUGAGAUUAAGCACCUGGCCCCUUUCAUUAUUCUAUUGAAAUAUGUGGUUUUUGCUCUCGUGACCUGACCGUGUAGCUGAAGCCUUUCUCCCCUGCCCCAUGCAGUUCAUCAAUAGUCCAGGAUUUCUAUAGGGCAAACAUACUGCCCUAUAGAAAUUGUGGAGGGCUUGGAUGGAAAACUUUGUUGGUUCGGUGCUGUGCCUUGGGGGUGCGUGCAAGGAAUGGGAUGGAGCAUGUGGUGCUUUAUGCAUUGCUCCUCCCACCUUGCUUGGUUUCUACAUCCGUAGCCACAGAGCGCUCUGAAAUCAGGGACAGAAAGGAGCAAAAAGGAUCUGCAGUGUGACGAUAGUGAUACUGAAUCACUGCCCAGGCAGGCUGGUUGAAACUACAGCUCAGACCCAAGGUUGGUGUUGAGGUUUGAGCUCGUCGAGAGAGGUGACUUAAAGGAGCCAUAUCAAAACACGAGCUGCACAUAAAGCAGAGUAACUGCCUUCCUGGGAGAUGCAGAUCUCGUGCUGCAGAGCAGUCACUGCAGGAUACCUACCUGGGGCUGCUGCUGCAGGUCAGGUCAGUGAGGCCAGCUGGGGAGGUUGGGCUGCAGAGGAAUGCACCGAGCUCUGUAGUUGAAGCAUUGGAGAUUUCCAGGUGCUGUGCUGGGAUCCACUGCCACGAACAGCACUGAAUUAGCCGCAGGUAACUGAGCUUAGUGAAACACCAACCAGUCUGGCCUGCAUUCAGAGUUUAUAGAUAAAUCUUGUUGCUGGCCGUGGGCUCCAAGUGGGUCUGUGCCACACAGCUGCAAAUGUUUGGUUUGGUUUCCCCAAAUAUUUUCUGCCGUGAAUCACUCAGAAACAUUUCUGUAGCGCCUACUGCUGUGUGGAGAAGAAAAGUGGAACAGAAGGUAUCAAUUUGGAGGAGGAAUGGAAAUAAAAAGGUCUGCGCUUCAUGCAAGGUGCAGAGGGAUGCUCUGCCAUAGGAAACAAAAGGCUCUGUUGGUAUAAAGUGAAUCUUUUUGCACCUCCUCUUUCUGCAUUGUGGUGGAUGUCCACACAUGACCUCUGUCAGCAUAUGGGUUGUUACUCAUGGAAGAAGGCAGCCGGGGCUGGGCGUUCAAGCAUGCAGUCUCCUUGUUUCCUGGCAUUUUUGUGUUUAUAGGUCUCUCUUUUUUCCUUUGCCCCUAAUGGCAAUAAAGUAAAACAAGAUCCGGUCUUUUCAUAGCAUUGCCACUCUCCUAAAACAGAGGGAGGGAGGAAAAGAAAGGCAUUUCCAGCACAGCAGAGACCCCGUGCUCCUGUAAAAGUGUUUUUGGGCCUCCUAGGUAAACCCAGUGGAGAGAGGGAGAAGCAGAAAGGCGUAACUGAGCCGUGGUAGCAGGCACCCCUGUGAUUUAGCACAGUGCCCUGAGGCCUCAUUUAUCUCUCACUGGUAACAGAUUCAGACACUAACUCAGACUGCAGCUCACCUCAUGUUAUUCUGCAGCAAAUCACCGGAAAAAAGAGUUGCCUGUUUUUAUUUCCCCAUUUUUUUUUUCCACCCAGGAGUUGAAUUUUCAGUCAAAAUGGAAAAAUAUUGGGUCGUUUAUAACAUGGAAAGGACACCCUGAAGAUAAGGUUUCAGUGUUCCUUGCACUCUUGUGUUGCCACCAUCAAAAGGUGAUGUUUGCCUGAAAGUGCUUUUGUGCUUGCAGUGUAAAUCAGCCAUUUCAGCACUGAAACAUGUCCGAAUGCUCCUGGUUGCUCCAUGCCCCCUUGCUGGUCCCGGUGACUUUCCAGCUAAAUGUGAUAUCCUUCUUCACUUUCUGUCCUAGAAAGGUGUUUGUGUGCUCUGUAGAACCCCUGAGACGGCCUCACAUCCAUGUUGGGAGAACUGAAUCCCAGGGCUAAUGGCAGGAACAGGGUAUGAGGAUGUCAAAGAAGCACUGCAGACAAGGUGUAUAAGGGGUAGUGGGGGAUUCUAGGCAUGAAAAGCAUUCAAGUAAUGCAACCGGGUGGUUAUUAUUUAAUAUCUUAUAAACUGAAAACAUCAGUCAACUUUUCCAGCGUGCAAAUGAAGGAAAAAUACCUAAAGGUGGGUUUGAGAGAGGUGCUUCACAAAAUAAUUAUAUAUAUAUGAAAAGGUUCCUCAUAUGCUUCCCAGAUGUACCAAUCCCCCAUGUCUGUUCUCUCAGGCUGAUUAUGGAAUACAUGC